UCCAGACUGGUGUAAAUGGUAGCAUAAUCGGUUCUCAUUCGGGGGGUGGUAGUUCUGGUUCGAGUCCAGGGUUUGGAC
rnacentral:tRNA from 1 species